AUUGAACGCUGGCGGCAGGCCUAACACAUGCAAGUCGAGCGAGCGGCGGACGGGUGAGUAACGUGUGGAGAUCUGCCCGAUAGAGGGGGAUAACUACUGGAAACGGUGGCUAAUACCGCAUACUAUCGGAUGAAACCAUAUGGGAUUAGAUAGUAGGUAGGGGAAAGGCUCACCAAGGCGACGAUCUCUAGCUGGUCUGAGAGGAGGAUCUGCCACACUGGGACUGAGACACGGCCCAGACUCCUACGGGAGGCAGCAGUGGGGAAUAUGGCACAAUGGGCGCAAGCCUGAUGGAGCGAUGCCGCGUGAAUGAAGAAGGCCUUAGGGUUGUAAAGGACGUUCAGCAGGGAGGCGUUACCCACAGAAGAAGCACCGGCUAACGCCGUGCCAGCAGCCGCGGUAAUAC
rnacentral:rRNA from 1 species